AAGUACUUGUAGAGAGAUGGGCACGAGAAGAUUAAUGAGAUUCAGAGCCUUAAGUCUAAUGGCAGUGCAAAGACAUACUGCAGCAUCCAAAUCUGCUAGCCCUUGCAGCAAUGGGCAGCAUUUCUCCUUAGCACUGUCACCAAGACCAAUGUGAAUUAACCCACCUAAAACAUCAACACAUGCACCGAGUUUGAGAGCAUCAAUGGGGCAAGUUUGUUGUUUUGGUGGCGGUGGGUAUCUCACACUAGGUGGCGGUGGUGACUUAGGGCUUGGUCCAUUAGGCGGUGGCGGCUUUACAAUCGGUGGUGGUGGUGACUUGACAACCGGUGGAGGAGGUGGUGGUGACUUUGCAACUGGAGGAGGAGGUGGAGGGGCCGACUUCACGACCGGAGGUGGUGGUGGUGGCGAUUUCACAAACGGAGGAGGAGGUGGUGGCGUUUUAGGGCUCGGUGAAGAAGGCGGUGGGGGACAGUUUGGUGUCUUAGAAGCAGGGGGAGGAGGAGGGUUAUUUGAGCAGUCACAAGCUAGAGAUGUAAGCAAAGUGCCCAAGUUCAAGAGUAGAAUAAAGGAACUUGCUAAUUGAUAUUUUCCC
rnacentral:lncRNA from 1 species